rnacentral:miRNA from 1 species
UGUCACAGAUGGCCGGAAGAGACUC